GCCUUGGUGGUGUAGUGGUAGCAUGUGACCUCGGUAUAGGUGAAAAGUUGGUUCAACUCCCAUCUGAGGUU